rnacentral:rRNA from 1 species
UAGCGGAGGGUGCAAGCGUUUAUCCGGAAGUUCACUGGGUUUAAAGGGUGCGUAGGUGGGCAGGUAAGUCCGUAGGUGGAAAACUCUCUGAGCUUAACUCAGAAACUGGCCGUGGAUACUAUUUGUCGUUGAAUGUUGUGGAGGUGAGCGGAAAUAUGUCAUGUAGCGGUGAAAAUGCUUAGAUAAUGGACAUAGAACACCCAAAUUGCGAAGGCAGCUCACUACACAAAUUAUUGACGCUGGAGGCAACGAAAAGCCGUGGGGGAUCAAACAGGA